UACGGAGGGUGCAAGCGUUGUCCGGAAUCACUGGGCGUAAAGGGCGCGUAGGCGGCUCAUGAAGGCUGUGGUGAAAGUCCGGGGCUCAACCUCGGAUCGGCCGUGGCGACUCGUGGGCUGGAGCACUGUAGAGGCGGGUGGGAAUUCCGGGUGUAGCGGUGGAAUGCGUAGAGAUCCGGAAGAACACCAGUGGCGAAGGCGGCCCGCUGGGCAGUGGC
rnacentral:rRNA from 1 species